CCUACGGGAGGCAGCAGUGGGGAAUUUUGGACAAUGGGCGCAAGCCUGAUCCAGCCAUGCCGCGUGUGGGAAGAAGGCCUUCGGGUUGUAAACCACUUUUGUCAGGGAAGAAACGGCUUUUUCUAAUACAGAGAGCUAAUGACGGUACCUGAAGAAUAAGCACCGGCUAACUACGUGCCAGCAGCCGCGGUAAUACGUAGGGUGCAAGCGUUAAUCGGAAUUACUGGGCGUAAAGCGUGCGCAGGCGGCUUUGCAAGACAGAUGUGAAAUCCCCGGGCUCAACCUGGGAACUGCAUUUGUGACUGCAUGGCUAGAGUACGGUAGAGGGGGAUGGAAUUCCGCGUGUAGCAGUGAAAUGCGUAGAUAUGCGGAGGAACACCGAUGGCGAAGGCAAUCCCCUGGACCUGUACUGACGCUCAUGCACGAAAGCGUGGGGAGCAAACAGGAUUAGAUACCCUGGUAGUCCACGCCCUAAACGAUGUCAACUGGUUGUUGGACGGCUUGCUGUUCAGUAACGAAGCUAACGCGUGAAGUUGACCGCCUGGGGAGUCGGCCGCGAGGUUGAAACUCGAAAUGAAUUGACGGCUGGAGAGNGCGACGGACGACGACGAGGGAGGAGG
rnacentral:rRNA from 1 species